rnacentral:rRNA from 1 species
AUUGAACGCUGGCGGCAGGCUUAACACAUGCAAGUCGAACGGUAACAUAAAGAAGCUUGCUUCUUUGAUGACGAGUGGCGGACGGGUGAGUAAUGCUUGGGAAUCUAGCCUAUGGAGGGGGAUAACUACGGGAAACUGUAGCUAAUACCGCGUAGAAUCGAGAGAUGAAAUGUGGGACCUUCGGGCCACAUGCCAUAGGAUGAGCCCAAGUGGGAUUAGGUAGUUGGUGAGGUAAAGGCUCACCAAGCCGACGAUCUCUAGCUGGUCUGAGAGGAUGACCAGCCACACUGGGACUGAGACACGGCCCAGACUCCUACGGGAGGCAGCAGUGGGGAAUAUUGCGCAAUGGGGGCAACCCUGACGCAGCCAUGCCGCGUGAAUGAAGAAGGCCUUCGGGUUGUAAAGUUCUUUCGGUAGCGAGGAAGGCAUUUAGUUUAAU